rnacentral:lncRNA from 1 species
UGCAAGCGGGAGCUAGCCACCAGUUUUGAAAUUUGGUUUCUUCAUAAAAUGAAGCUGUUGGUCAAGAGCAGGGAUUUUCUAACUGUAAAACCAAGAGCCAUUUUUCUUUCCUCCUCCCAGUGAACCCCAAUCUAGGUUUGAAUCAAAUUCAAGCUGGAGGUGGAGAGAAAUAAAGACUCCCUGUAUAUCCUGUCAUAUGAAAGUCUCUUAAGCUGUUUACGCAAUCAUGGAUUUCCAGGGAAACAAUUUGAAAACCUCUACUCUGGACAUUUUUUAAGAAAAAGAAAAAAGCUAUAAUUUGAAAAAGUUCCUGCAGAAUUGUCUCGUGAAAGUCAGAGAAACAGAUGUGCUGGAGAGAAUAGGUAAAAAGGGGAUCCUUCACAAAGGAACAUCGUCAUGCCUUGCAUCAGACUCAAAGAUCUGUCCCAAUGUAAGUAAGACUGUGUCUUUAUACUGCAGAACUGUAAAGGCAAUGCACAGAGGUAAAUUUACAAUCCACAGGCGAACUUCAUAUGCAGAAAAUCAUGUGAAGUACUCUACAGUCUCAUUGACAAAUACCAGAUCUGAAAGGUUAAGUAAUUUAUGUGAGGGCCCCGAUCAUAGAGUUUAUUAGUAAAGGUUGGUUAGUAUGGAUUAAUUAGUGAAGAUAGUAAAGAUGAUUGUAGAAGGUCUGGUUCCCAGUUUUCCUGUUGCCUAUCUCUAAGUCCAUUAUUUAAUCUCACAGUUGGGUAACACUUAAUUGCAUCAGGUCUUUCAAAUAGCUGUACCAGAGACCAUUCUUUACCUACUCCAAUAUCCACUUGCUGCCUUCUUUUAAUACAAGAACCUGAUUUCUACCUACACUUUAGCAAAUAAAAUUACAGAUUGCCAAGAUAAACUUGACUUC